GAAGGAAUAUCUAAUAAUGAUACAUUCUCAUAUCAAAGAGUACCUAGAGCUGUACAGAAUACAUCACUUGACAUACUCUACUAUACACAAGAUGUGGUUAUUGUCCAGUUCUAUACCCCCCAAAUUAUACUGGAGUG